UACGGAGGGUGCAAGCGUUGUUCGGAAUCAUUGGGCGUAAAGCGAGUCUAGGUCGGAAGGUAAGUCAGGUGUGAAAGACCCAAGCUCAACUUGGGAAUUGCGCUUGAUACUGCUUUUCUUGAGUCACAGAGAGGUGUGCGGAAUACCUGGUGUAGCAGUGAAAUGCGUAGAUAUCAGGUGGAACAUCGGAGGCGAAAGCGGCACACUGGCUGUGUACUGACACUCAAGCUAGAAGGCGUGGGGAUCAAACAGG
rnacentral:rRNA from 1 species